UACGGGGGGGGCAAGCGUUGUUCGGAAUUACUGGGCGUAAAGGGCUCGUAGGUGGCCAACUAAGUCAGACGUGAAAUCCCUCGGCUUAACCGGGGAACUGCGUCUGAUACUGGAUGGCUUGAGUUCGGGAGAGGGAUGCGGAAUUCCAGGUGUAGCGGUGAAAUGCGUAGAUAUCUGGAGGAACACCGGUGGCAGAGGCGGCAGCCUGGACCGACACUGACACUGAGGAGCGAAAGCCAGGGGAGCAAACGGG
rnacentral:rRNA from 1 species